rnacentral:rRNA from 1 species
AUUGAACGCUGGCGGCAUGCCUUACACAUGCAAGUCGAACGGUAACGGGCCUUCGGGUGCCGACGAGUGGCGAACGGGUGAGUAAUGUAUCGGAACGUACCUUUCAGUGGGGGAUAACGUAGCGAAAGUUACGCUAAUACCGCAUAUUCUGUGAGCAGGAAAGCAGGGGAUCGCAAGACCUUGCGCUGAUUGAGCGGCCGAUAUCAGAUUAGCUAGUUGGUGAGGUAAAGGCUCACCAAGGCGACGAUCUGUAGCGGGUCUGAGAGGAUGAUCCGCCACACUGGAACUGAGACACGGUCCAGACUCCUACGGGAGGCAGCAGUGGGGAAUUUUGGACAAUGGGGGCAACCCUGAUCCAGCCAUGCCGCGUGAGUGAAGAAGGCCUUCGGGUUGUAAAGCUCUUUCGGCCGGGAAGAAAUCGUAUCAGCUAAUACCUGGUGCGGAUGACGGUACCGGCAUAAGAAGCACCGGCUAACUACGUGCCAGCAGCCGCAGUAA